rnacentral:rRNA from 1 species
UCGAAAGGUGUGCUAAUACCGCAUAUUCUCUGAGGAGGAAAGUAGGGGAUCGAAAGACCUUAUGCUUUUGGAGCGGCCGAUGUCUGAUUAGCUAGUUGGUGAGGUAAUGGCUUACCAAGGCGACGAUCAGUAGUUGGUCUGAGAGGACGGCCAGCCACACUGGGACUGAGACACGGCCCAGACUCCUACGGGAGGCAGCAGUGGGGAAUUUUGGACAAUGGGCGCAAGCCUGAUCCAGCAAUGCCGCGUGAGUGAAGAAGGCCUUCGGGUUGUAAAGCUCUUUCAGUCGAGAAGAAAAGGUUGUGACUAAUAAUCAUAACUCAUGACGGUAUCGACAGAAGAAGCACCGGCUAACUACGUGCCAGCAGCCGCGGUACUACGUAGGGUACGAGCGUUGAUCGGAAUUACUGGGCGUAAAGGGUGCGCAGGCGGUUCUGUAAGUCAGAUGUGAAAUCCCUGGGCUGAACCUGGGAACUGC